GGAAGGAGCCAGUCUAAUGGUCUGAGCAUUGGACUUUGACUCUGGAGACCAGGGUUCAAAUCCCAGUUCAUCCA